CCUACGGGUGGCAGCAGUGAGGAAUAUUGGUCAAUGGGCGAGAGCCUGAACCAGCCAAGUCGCGUGUAGGAUGACGGCCCUACGGGUUGUAAACUUCUUUUGUCAGGGCGCAAUUGAGUCCACGUGUGGUCUUAGCGAGAGUACCUGCAGUAAAAGCAUCGGCUAACUCCGUGCCAGCCGCCGCGGUAAUACUGAGGAUGCGAGCGUUCUCCGGAUUUAUUGGGUUUACAGGGUGCGUAGGCGGAAUAUCAAGUCAGCGGUAAAAAUUCGGGGCUCAACCCCGUCGUGCCGUUGAAACUGAUGGUCUUGAGUGGGCGAGAAGGAGGCGGAAUGCGUGGUGUAGCGGUGAAAUGCAUAGAUAUCACGCAGAACUCCGAUGGCGAAGGCAGCAUACCGGCGCCCAACUGACGCUGAAGCACGAAAGCGUGGGUAGCGAACAGGAUUAGAUACCCCAGUAGUC
rnacentral:rRNA from 1 species